rnacentral:rRNA from 1 species
UACGAAGGGGGCGAGCGUUGUUCGGAUUUACUGGGCGUAAAGGGCGCGCAGGCGGCUUAUUUUGUCAGGCGUGAAAGCCCCGGGCUUAACCUGGGAACUGCGUUUGAUACGGAUGGGCUAGAGUUCGGGAGAGGAGAGUGGAAUUCCCAGUGUAGAGGUGAAAUUCGUAGAUAUUGGGAAGAACACCGGUGGCGAAGGCGGCUCUCUGGACCGAGACUGACGCUGAGGCGCGAAAGCGUGGGGAGCGAACAGG